rnacentral:rRNA from 1 species
CACGUAGGGUGCGAGCGUUGUCCGGAAUUAUUGGGCGUAAAGAGCACGUAGGCGGUGUGUCGCGUCGGCCGUGAAAACCUGCAGCUUAACUGUGGGCUUGCGGUCGAUACGGGCAUCACUGGAGUUCGGCAGGGGAGACUGGAAUUCCUGGUGUAGCGGUGAAAUGCGCAGAUAUCAGGAGGAACACCGGUGGCGAAGGCGGGUCUCUGGGCCAUUACUGACGCUGAGGAGCGAAAGCGUGGGGAGCGAACAGG